rnacentral:rRNA from 1 species
UACGUAGGGAGCGAGCGUUGUCCGGAUUCAUUGGGCGUAAAGAGCUCGUAGGCGGCUUGGCAAGUCGGGUGUGAAAACUCCAGGCUCAACCUGGAGACGCCACCCGAUACUGCCAUGGCUAGAGUCCGGUAGGGGACCACGGAAUUCCUGGUGUAGCGGUGGAAUGCGCAGAUAUCAGGAGGAACACCGGUGGCGAAGGCAGUGGUCUGGGCCGGAACUGACGCUGAGGAGCGAAAGCGUGGGGAGCGAACAGG